rnacentral:snRNA from 1 species
AUACUGACCUGGCAGGGAAGAUACCAUGAUCAUGAAGGUAGUUUUCCCAGGGCACUCUGGAUGUGCCGACCCCUGCGAUUUCCCCAAAUGUGGGAAACUCAACUGCAUUUGUGGUAGUGGGGGACUGUGUUCGCACUCUUCCCUG